CGACUACACUUCGCAAUAAACUCAAUGUUGCACUUGCACAGUGAAAUUCAAUCUCCCAUCAGUCAGUGAAUGCUUAUGUUGAGGUACUAAUGCUACACUGAAUUUAAAUGGAGGGUGCCGUUCACUGAAUUCCUAAAGAAAGGUUAAUAACUUUCUGGUAUUUUGACCAAAUUAUCCACGAGUUUGGAAAACAAGACCCAAAAUAGGAACUGUUUCUAAAUCGUUAAAACUUGUGGAAUGUCUAAGUUAUGUGGUUACUAGUUUCAGAGUAAUUGGUUCCAUAAUAUUAUUACUCCCACGAUAUGAGGAGGUUGCAUAUUAGUCUUUUGAUGUUUUAAACUGGGUUUUCACCAUUUUGUACCAGAUGAAGGGAUUAUCAAAUGUCAAAGAUGAAGUCCAUGGGGUUCUUGAUUCUUUUUCCAUUUUGCAUAUUAGUCUUUUGAUUAAUGUGAAAAAGGCAUUAUAAGCACUAGCAUAUUAUGAGAUGGAAUGAAAAGGUAAAAUGUUACCCUGUGUAACAUACAUACAUACCUUUUAUUCCUUCUUUUUAUCUGUUAUUUAAGUCGUUUGUGGUUCUGAGUUUCGUGAAUAAAUCUAUUAAUGAAAUUUGUAAAAGGUGACCAAGUUUGAUAGAAUUAU